GCGACGGUAACGAUCAAUUUCCUCGAUUUCUCGAAACGGAUUGUGUUAUGGAUUCUAUGUGUUUAAUUCCAUUAAUACAGUCGCCCACUAAGAGUUCUUCAAUGCGUGUUUCGCGUCGGCGGGAUCUGUAAUUUCUGGGUAUAAAUAUCUCGGUAUUACUCCGCUGUAAGUCACGAUCUAUUCUUCUUCCUACUACUCAUCUUUCAUAUACUAAAUUGUUCUCAAAGUUCACUGAUAUUAAAAUUUCCGGUGAACCUCAUCAUGUUUAAAUUUAUCCUCUGAAUUUUAUAAGUUCUUUUCGCUUGAUAUAUUGGUUUUGAAACUCAUAAUGAUCAAACUUUUUCAAAAGCUUUAGUUUAUGGGAGAUGAUUUCGUUUUUGAUUUUGUUUGUGGAUUCUGUUAAAUUUAUUCAUGUAUUGAUUAUCAAUUUUUUUAAUUCAAAAGCUUCGUUAUGGGAGAUGAUUUAGAUUUCGAUUUUGGUGGUUGAUUUUGUUUCAGUUUGUUCUUUUAUUGUUUUUUUUUAAUUCUUCUCCCUUUGAUAAUCUCCUUUAUGCUUCCCCUUCGAUUGCUGUUCAUUUUCUAGGACAAUAUCAACGAGUCACAGAAAAGUAAAGCACUAUAUUGGCCUUUCACUGAAUUUUGCAGCUACGUAUCGUUCUCAAAGUUUAUUGAUGAUCACAUCUUUGUCAGCUUCGUUUAGAUUCCACUCAAGCUAGGGGUAGUCAAAGAAUCUUUUUUUUUUCCUCUUGAAUUUGAUAUAGGUGACCAGCUUGAUAACAGGUUCGUCUUUUGCCAAAAGAUUCUGACUUUCUUCAAUAGAUUCAAACAAAGAGUUGAGUUUUCUAUUGGUAUUUGAUGAGUCAAUUCUAAGUUUGAUUCAGUGGAAUAAUUAAUGGUGUUAUUUGCGCUUCGUUGCAGCUCAUGUAGCUUAUUGUAAGUUGAUGUUUUUUUUUGUGUUCAGGGAUUUAAAAGGAUGACACAAAGUGGUAAAGAAGAAACUAUGGCAUCUCAAUGUGUCAGUGCUAUGGUUGAGAUCAAUAUAUUGCCGUAUAAGAUCAACUUUGUUAUUCACUUAAUUUUUAUCCAUGCAUCCGUUUCUUUCGUAAUAAAGUGUGUAAUCUAUAAUUUCAGUGAUUUGAUUAGAAUCGUGAAGCUAAUGCCGUAUAACAAAAUUACUCACUGCUUUUUUUGUUCAAAAAAUUCAAAGAGAUAAUUAACAUGAG
rnacentral:lncRNA from 1 species